rnacentral:rRNA from 1 species
GGGGGUUUCGGAGUUUUUCGGGCUUCGGCUCGACUCUCCCACCCUUUGUGAACGUACCUCUGUUGCUUUGGCGGCUCCGGCCGCCAAAGGACCUCCAAACUCCAGUCAGUAAACGCAGACGUCUGAUAAACAAGUUAAUAAACUAAAACUUUCAACAACGGAUCUCUUGGUUCUGGCAUCGAUGAAGAACGCAGCGAAAUGCGAUAAGUAAUGUGAAUUGCAGAAUUCAGUGAAUCAUCGAAUCUUUGAACGCACAUUGCGCCCCUUGGUAUUCCGGGGGGCAUGCCUGUUCGAGCGUCAUUACAACCCUCAAGCUCUGCUUGGAAUUGGGCACCGUCCUCACUGCGGACGCGCCUCAAAGACCUCGGCGGUGGCUGUUCAGCCCUCAAGCGUAGUAGAAUACACCUCGCUUUGGAGUGGUUGGCGUCGCCCGCCGGACGAACCUUCUGAACUUUUCUCAAGGUUGACCUCGGAUCAGGUAGGGAUACCCGCUGAACUUAAGCAUAUCAAUAAGCGGAGGAA